CUGCAGACAAUUACACCAACCAUCCUCCUCCCAAUGUGCAACAGCUGCAGACAGCAGCCUCCUUGGUAGUGGACACAGCCUAUUGCUUUUACGGGUGGCCCUAAGGGACCUUGGAGACAGCC
rnacentral:snoRNA from 1 species